rnacentral:rRNA from 1 species
ACGGGAGGCAGCAGCUAAGAAUAUUCCGCAAUGGGCGAAAGCCUGACCCAGCGACGCCGCGUGAGGGAAGACGGUCUUCGGAUUGUAAACCUCUUUCAGCAGGGAAGAAGAAAGUGACGGUACCUGCAGAAGAAGUCACGGCUAACUACGUGCCAGCAGCCGCGGUAAUACGUAGGUGGCGAGCGUUAUCCGGAAUUACUGGGUGUAAAGGGUGUGUAGGCGGGGAAGCAAGUCAGGUGUGAAAAUUUUGGGCUCAACCCAGGACGUGCACUUGAAACUGUUUUUCUUGAGAGUGGGAGAGGUAAACGGAAUUCCUGGUGUAGUAGUGAAAUGCGUAGAUAUCAGGAGGAACACCGGUGGCGAAGGCGGUUUACUGGACCACAACUGACGCUGAGACACGAAAGCGUGGGGAGCAAACAGGAUUAGAUACCCUGGUA